CAUAUCUUCGUUCUACUAGAUUCUAGAAAUUACCCUCUCACUUAAUUUCAUCCCUUCAGAUAUAAAAUGUGAAGUCUGUGAUCAAAGAAGAUAUUUUCAAUGAUACAAAUUAUUGGAUCUGUUAUGAAGCUCCAAAUGUCUAGAAGGUUAAAGAAAUGUUGGACCAUUUUAAAGGUUUGCUUGCAAGUGAAACUGUAGCAAUGAAGAGUGAGUAGGUCAUUGUAUAAGUCAAGCCUGAGGUGUGUGAUCUCUAUCUUUAAAAUUUUCACCAGUUCAUGGUUAGUUUCACUAUACCCUGAACUAAAAGAAGAAGGAUUUCAGCUAGAUCAUAAGUCUCUUCACACAUCCGCUAUACCUAAGUUUCUAUAACAUGGAAGUUGUUUGUCUUACUAACUUUUGUGAUGACAAUGAAUUACCUAGGAUUGGAAAUUCCAACUCUGUUACUUAUGUCAAUGAAGAAGUCUUGGGUCAAAAAUGAAGAAUGGGUGGUUCACAUUAAUGCAAAAAUCUUGGUAAUUAUUAAUUUUUUUUUUUUGUUGAGUUCAUAAUUUUCAGGUUAACUUCAACCCUGUCAGUGUCAAUUCAAUCAAGAAAACACUUGCAUCUAUAUGCAAAAAGGAGCAGAGUCAAAGUGAGUGGAGGUGAUAUCAGACAUGCAAUUAAUUUUCUACAGUAUCUUUGUCUUAAAUCACAUAUAAUGCCUAUUCUAUCGUCAAAAGAAAGACUGGAUAAUGUUAGUUGUUUGGAUGGUGUGUUCUGUUUGUCAUUCGACUAGAUAACGUUAGUUGUUUGGAUGAUGCGUUCUCUUUUCCAUUUGGAAAAGAUGAAACUCCCUCUCUAUUUUAUGCAUUAGGCAAAUUUCUACACAACAAAAGAGAGUGAGCACACUAUUGCAUCUGGUACAUCUGACUAAACUUCAUUCUCAA